rnacentral:rRNA from 1 species
UACGUAGGGGGCAAGCGUUGUCCGGAUUUAUUGGGCGUAAAGAGCGUGUAGGCGGCCAGGUAGGUCCGUUGUGAAAACUCGAGGCUCAACCUCGAGACGUCGGCGGAAACCCUCUGGCUAGAGUCCGGAAGAGGAGAGUGGAAUUCCUGGUGUAGCGGUGAAAUGCGCAGAUAUCAGGAGGAACACCGGUGGCGAAGGCGGAUCUCUGGGCCUUACCUGACGCUCAGGUGCGAAAGCUAGGGGAGCGAACAGG